UUAAUGGAUUUGGGUAUUUAAUCUGGGUUGGUCGGAAGGCCUUAUUACACACUAAACGUCUACGUGGGAGAAGUUAUGGGUACUUGACGUCGUGGCAUCAGUCGAACCUCUUCAGACGUCAGCAAUGGAGCGGCGCGCGCCCGAGUGGUUCGGAUAGGCAUCGCGCUUGCAAUAAGGGGUGCUAGGACUGACCUCGGCCGCCCACGCAUCGUGCAUGAGUGCAAAGGGUGAUGAGCCCAUGACCCCUACACGCUUAGGAUUUAGACCGGUGGGCUGGCCUCUCUGUUGAGUCUAGGUGGGGCUGCGACG
rnacentral:lncRNA from 1 species